rnacentral:lncRNA from 1 species
CCACAAACACAUCUUUGAUAUGUCUGCAAGACGGAGGCGUCUCUGCAACGAGGCCAGAGGAUGCAACAUCCGACCCCGGGCAAUGCGACAUGAAGGUGAGGGCUCCCACCGCCACUGACCUGUAAGUGAUCUGAGGUAAGUGCACUGAGGGAGAGGAUGAUCAUUAAUUGUCGCCCCAGUCCUAUUUGUCCCAAGCCAGGGAACAACAAUGAGGAUGGACUGAGCUAAGGCCCCUGAUCCCUUGGUGUCUUGCGGUAUUUGAACACCUUCGUGUAUUGUAGUUGAGGACUUAUGCUGUUAGGAGCUGUGUUGCCAACAGAAUAUCUGCAGGUCGCAAUGAUGAUUGGAUAUAUCCCAGCUCGCUUCGAGACAUUUUUUGUCGUUGAAGAGACUUUGUUUCCUAUCUCACUCACGUAUUUGACUGAGCGACCUUGUCCUGCCGUUAGUAGCAGGCCUUCGCCUUCUCUUUCCUUGAGCACGUUCAUCUCAUUGCCGUUCUCGUUCUCUUCGCAGGGACAAAGCGCUCCACGGACGCGGUGGUGCAGACGGUUGGGUAAGUCUCUCGUGACUCCGAUCUCGCACAGUUCACUUUCGCAUGGGCUGUAGGAAUAUGUUAAGGGGUGCAAAGGCAAAGGGAAUGAUGAUCCACAAACUUUGGUCCGUGUUAUGUAUCCAGCCUUAGGCUGAUGACGUGAAACGUUUACUGUCUGACCGGCAGUCCUGACCCUUGCCUUUGCUUCUCUCAAUCACCUUUUAGGGCUGUUCACAUUUUAGGAUUAGAGGCUGUCCUGAAGAUUUCUAUUGAAGGGGAGGGCAUGAGUUACCAGGACGCUAUGAUGAAAGCAUACAUUUCGGACUAGAGUAUCUGAGGCCGACGGCUGCUGACGAUUGUGUUUCUCUUGGCUGACUGAGCGUUCCUGCCUCGGCUUUUCAGAGCCUUUCAUGCUCUCCUGACUGCAGUGUUGAUGCUAUUCUUGAAGUUUCUGAGGUUGUUGGCAGCAAACUGUGCAUCUGCUCUGUAUUGUAUUAAUAUCCCAUGCUGGCUUCUAUAUCAGUUGGUCCCCGGUCCUGCAAUGUCUGGAGGGCCCGUUCCCAGAAGCAAUAGAAUUGAGGCCGGUCAGGGGCUUGAUCAAUACCUUCUGCCGGUCGUUGAUGGGGGCCUCGCUAUCUUGCCUCCCUUUUGGGUUUGCAGGACGACUGGCCCCCACAUUUUGUGGGCACAUGUCUACGCUAGGCCAGCUAAGGGCUGAUGGCACUUCGCAGUGCUGAUCUGUCCUUGUUGUCUGCAGGUGAAGCCUCUACAGCGUGGACCACGCCCCCAGCCGCCACGGCUGCAUGGCAGCAUUGAUGCCCUCCAUGUGGACUUCCACAAAGGUAUGCAUCAACCAACCAAUAAUUAUGGAGUUGUUACCUUGUUUUGGCUGGCACUUCAGGCAACUGGGCUGCAGGACAAUUGCUCGCUACGGUGUUCAGCCAGCCAUACAUUCAUUUGGCUUGAACCAAGAACUUCAAGAGUUGCUCAACCUCUCAAGGUUCCAACUCAGGCCAACAUUUUUUUUAGAGCGGCAUCAAACUCUACACCGUGGGGGGGUCCUGAAUGUCUGGCCGAGGAGGGUCGGCCUCUGGGAAGGAGACACCUGAAAGAGAUAUUUUGCUUGUGCAGGGAAAAGGCUGAUGCGUGCAUUGACCUAGCCAGCAGACUUGAUGCGCAAAACCAUCUUUGACCUGGUGCGAAUUUCUUAGCACCUGCAAGUUUGUGUUGUUAUACUUGAUGUUGUGCCACUAGGAACGCUAUGAUGACGGUCGAGUACUGGUCUGACCUUGUGCCUUGUACUCAACAUUUCACAUAGCAAUAUUGACUGGGAAGAGUUUCAGUGCUCCUGAAUCACUCAUGACACGAGCAUGUAUAUACUUCCCUACAUCUCUUUGCUUGCACAAGCUGGUUGCCUCCACAAGCACAUCAGGCUCCACCCGCUUGAUCGACUGCUCUGCAGGAGAACAAGCUACGGAAGGCAUCAACAUGGCUGUCGACCGUUCACCCUGGUCAGCUUAUUUUUGACAGGUGAGUCAUCACAGCUUUGACUAAGAGAAGCUUCUGAGGAAGUGUCCUGUAUAUUGACAAUGGGUAAACAUGUACUUCUUUGAUAGGUGGAGCUUCACAUGCUUUGCCGGUGGGGCUCCUUGACUAGCUUCUAAUGGAUCUGUCAUUUUGACAGAAGUGUGAGGGGCAAUGGCACAAUGAUGACAACUUGAGGCUGUUUCUGAUGGCUCUGAGCCAUGAUUACACAACCCAAAAAACGACUUCUCUUUCCACUGAGUGCCACUGCCCUGCUAGGACUGCUCUGUUACUGCCGCCUGGAAUGCCAGCACAAUUUUGAAGAAUUCUGUAUGAUCUGCAGCUGCGGGGGAGAACAGGCUACCUGCUUUGAUGGAGGCCCAAUCUGAGGACCUGACUGCGUAGCACCUGCAUCUUCGUGGAUGAACCUCUUGGUAUGCCCCCUGUUGUCAACAUACCGGCUGAUUUUGCAGUGCUGUCAAUGAUGAAGAUAGCCAGUGAGUGCCGUGGGGUGUCGCUGGAUCCCUGCUCCGCAGGACUGAACCUAUCUGGCGCCCUCACAUGGCACUGCAGCAGCCGAUCUUCCGAUCCCUGCUGCAGCUGCCAAUUUGGCGCAGAUGGCGCAGCACAGCUGCAGUCUGAGACACCUGCUUGGGCAGUGUUAGACAUGUCAAUUGUAGCAGCAGCCCUGUCAGUGUUUCUUAUACAGAGGUUCUCCGCCCAGUGUUUCUUCUUGGGUUUAAAUUGCAGCGGUGAUCAGCCUUGAAUGAUGAAAAGUCAGCAGUUUUCACGACGGUCUUCAGACGGCCCUUGGGUCAAGGUUGAAUAUGCUAUUACUUAUCUGACAAGCUGAUCAUCCAGUCCUCUGGGAUUUGCUAUCGGGAUGUGUUGAUGCGACAAAUCAUUGAGCAAUGAAACCAUGGCUGUGCAGGCGCUAUAAUAAUACAUUUGGGCGCAAGGAUACAGCAGGAGAGGAGUUGCAGAAGGGCAGAUGUGGAGCACUAAAUCACUGCUCAAGACAAGCUUGCAGACUUGCCCACUCUGUUGAUGGUCGUCAGACUAUGCCGAAAUAGUUUUUGCAGCAAAGAUUGCAAUUGAACAUUUUUGCUUAGAGACUUGCCAUGUACAAAUUUAUAUCACCGAUGGUUUAGUAAAAGUGCAAUCACAGUCACAUUGAGUGUCAACUGCGGCUAAGCACACCAGCCAGGCAAUAAUGCGCCACAUGCAUGUGAAUCUUUCACAUACAAAUAAAGUUGGAUCUAAAUGGGAGAGUUGGAGCUUCAUUGUCACACAAGAACAAUGCAUCCGUGCAGUACUGCCACAGGUAGCUGCUUCCAGUCACACUGUCAU